UGAUCCCAGGUCAGGCGGGAGUA
rnacentral:rRNA from 1 species